rnacentral:tRNA from 1 species
GCGCCUAUAGCAUAAUGGUAAUGCUCCAGCUUCCCAAGCUGGCUACGGGGGUUCGAUUCCCCCUAGGCGCU